rnacentral:rRNA from 1 species
GUGCCAGCAGCCGCGGUAAAACGUAGGUUCCGAGCGUUAUCCGGAUUUACUGGGCGUAAAGCGUGUUCAGGCGGCUCAGCAAGUCGGGCAUGAAAUCUCUCGGCUCAACCGGGAGGGGCUGUCCGAAACUGCUGGGCUUGAGGGCAGUAGAGGGUGGUGGAAUUCCGGGUGUAGUGGUGAAAUGCGUAGAUAUCCGGAGGAACACCAGUGGCGAAAGCGGCCACCUGGACUGUACCUGACGCUCAAACACGAAAGCUAGGGGAGCGAACGGGAUUAGAAACCCCCGUAGUCC